UCUGCUCCAUCACAGCUCUGGAACAGAUUGGGGCUCCUUCUUUCCUGAACCAUUUCUAUUCCAGUUGCUCAUUACAAGAACUACUACUUGCUCUGAGUUGCUGCAUAAGCAAAAGAAAAAAAAAGAAAAAAUUGGCAGAGGCAUGGCUGUGACUAUCAUGAAGGGACCCUGAACUUCUGAAUUUGCCACUGCAUUACUGCUGAAGGCACUACUGCUGAAGACCAAGCAGAUAUUUCAUCAUGAAUUCUUUGGUGGUGAAUGAUGCAGGAGAGAUCCUUCCAUGCCCCUUUAGCCUUUCCAGCCAGACACUUUGUCAUAGUGAAAUGUGGAGGAGCAGAGUGAACAUCGACCGCCAUGGAUCUUUCAUUCUUGAGAAUGACCCUUCUUAAUUUGAUGACAGUCCCAUGACUGAUACUGUCAAUAUCAGUGACACAACUCAUUUCUUCUCAUUUUUCAAAGCUAUAGGACGGUGGUGGCACCAAAUGAUUGAAAAUGCACACAUUCUGAUAGAUAAUUAUGCUCCACUAAAGGCCAUGUACAGAAAUCAAAUGGAAUCAGUUCUAACAAUUUUUUCUGUGCUGUUGUCUAGUCCUUUUCUAUGUAUAAUUAUGUCAAAGUCUC